ensembl:lncRNA
UAUGAAGAUGAAGAUAGAUCUUCAUUUGGAUAUAUAUGUGCACAUACAAAUUACAGAAAAAUAUAAUUUUAUUUCAAUUGAUUUCUAUGUAAUUUUUUUUAUAUUUUGGAUUUGUAAUUCUCUUUUCUUUGCUCAGACCUUCAACACAAUAUUAUUACCGUGAUCAAACUCAAAAUUAUGGAUGGCUUGUUCAAGGCUCCUCCAAGUUUGUAAGUUAAUGGUCAUGUAUGGAUGUGAGAGUUGGACUAUAAAGAAAGCUGAGCACUGAAGAAUUGAUGCUUUUGAACUGUUGGAGAAGACUCCAUUCCAUACUCAUUAGCUGAAUCAAUAAGAAAUAUAAAGGCAAGGAACAAACUGCUUGGAGGCCAGCCAUGAGAGUCUGGCGGUACACUCAGAAACGCUCC